AUGAUUAAGGGAGCUACCAUUUGAUUUUUAUGGGGGGGGGCUAGGAUGAAAAAUUUUGUCCUGCAUUUUUUUUUUAGCUGUUAUCUCUGUCCUGCCUUUUUAUUUUUUACUCUGUUCGGUCCUGCCUUUUUUUUUUUUUAGUUUAUCCUGACUUUUACUUACCUAAAUUGUCGUCCUGACCUUUUCUUUUUUGCAAGUGUCUCAUCCUGCCUUUUUUUUUUACUCAAAACUCCUGUCCUGCCUAUUUUUUUCAAAUUUCAUCCUAGCCCCCCAUAAAAAUCAAAUGGUAGCUCCCU
rnacentral:lncRNA from 1 species